CUUUCUAUUAGCUCUCAGUGAGAUUACACAUGCAAGCAUCUACAGCCCUGUGAGAAUGCCCUCUACCAAAAUAUNNNNGAGGAGCGAGUAUCAAGCACGCAUUAUGCAGCUCAAAACACUUUGCUCAGCCACACCCCCACGGGAAACAGCAGUGAUUAACUUUUAGCAAUGAACGAAANGUUUAACUAAGCCACACUGACUAUUAGGGUCGGUCAAUUUCGUGCCAGCCACCGCGGCCAUACGAUUGACUCAAGUUAAUAGACUUCGGCGUAAAGGGUGUUUAAGAAUUAAAUCCAUGCACAAUAAAGCUAACCUCUAACUAAGUCGUAAAAAACCUCAGUUACAGUGAAAUAAACUACGAAAGUGGCUUUAAUAUUCUGAAUACACUAUAGCUAAGGUACAAACUGGGAUUAGAUACCCCACUAUGCUUAGCCCUAAACCUCAAUAACUCAAUCAACAAACUUAUUCGCCAGAAUACUACAAGCAACAGCUUGAAACUCAAAGGACCUGGCGGUGCUUUACAUCCGUCUAGAGGAGCCUGUUCUAUAAUCGAUAUACCCCGAUAAACCUCACCACCUCUUGCCAUCAGCCUGUAUACCGCCAUCUUCAGCAAACUCCUUAAUGAUCGCAAAGUAAGCAGAAGUAUCAUCAUAAAAACGUUAGGUCAAGGUGCAGCCAAUGACGUGGGAAGAAAUGGGCUACAUUUUCUAAAUCAGAAAACUUACGAAANACCCUUAUGAAAUU
rnacentral:rRNA from 1 species